CACCUGGGCAGCACUCACCUGAGCCCCGCACCCGGGCAGGAUUCACCUCGGCUCCGCACCCGGGCAGGAACCAUCACAGCCCCGCACCCGGGCAGGACCCGGCGCAGCCCCGCGGGCGGACAGAGCGGACCCCGCGUCCUGCCCCGCCGCCGCGAUGAGGAGCCGCGCCGGGGGAACCGCGUCGGGCGCCGCGGGGCUCUGGCCCGGCCAUGGAUGAGGUCUCUUCCGUGGACAUUGAACUCCCAGCUACCUAUGCCUAUUGCCUGUGAUGGAAGAACUGGAUGUUAAUGUGAGUUCGAGUGAGGGCUUCGGCAUAGCGGAGAAGAUCGUGCUGCUCACCUUCAUCUCCGCUGUCAUUCUGAUGGCCAUCCUGGGGAACCUGCUGGUGAUGGUGGCCGUGUGCCGGGACAGGCAGCUCAGGAAAAUCAAGACCAAUUAUUUCAUUGUUUCCCUUGCCUUUGCGGACCUGCUGGUGUCAGUGCUGGUGAUGCCCUUCGGAGCCAUUGAGUUGGUUCAGGACAACUGGAUCUAUGGAGAGAUGUUCUGCCUGGUCCGGACGUCCCUCGAUGUCCUGCUCACCACAGCAUCAAUCCUGCACCUGUGCUGUAUCUCACUGGACAGGUACUAUGCUAUCUGCUGCCAGCCUCUGGUGUACAGGAACAAGAUGACCCCACUGCGCAUCGCUGUAAUGCUCGGAGGGUGCUGGGUAAUCCCAACAUUUAUUUCUUUCCUCCCUAUCAUGCAAGGCUGGAAUAGCAUUGGCAUCAUUGAUCUGAUUCAGCAAAGGCAGUUCAACAAGGCUUCCAACUCCACCUACUGCAUAUUCAUGGUCAACAAGCCAUACGCCAUUACCUGCUCCGUGGUGGCCUUCUACAUCCCCUUCUUCCUGAUGGUGCUGGCCUACUACCGCAUCUACAUCACGGCGCGGGAGCACGCCCGGCAGAUCCAGGUGCUGCAGCGCGCGGGGGCCCCCACGGACGACCGGCAGCACCCCCCGGACCAGCACAGCACCCACCGCAUGAAGACUGAGACCAAAGCUGCCAAGACCCUGUGCAUCAUCAUGGGCUGCUUCUGCCUGUGCUGGGCCCCCUUCUUUGUCACAAACAUAGUGGACCCUUUCAUAAACUACACGGUGCCGGGGAAGCUGUGGACGGCUUUCCUGUGGCUGGGCUAUAUCAAUUCAGGGUUGAACCCUUUCCUCUACGCCUUCCUGAACAAGUCUUUCAGACGUGCCUUCCUCAUCAUCCUGUGCUGUGGGGAUGAGCGAUACCGAAGACCUUCCAUCCUGGGGCAGACGGUGCCCUGUUCCACCACCACGAUAAAUGGAUCGACGCACGUGCUAAGGGUAAACAGCUGGAAGUGUUGAGCUAACAACUGCCAGAGGCUUCAGACAGACACUUUGUGCCACACGAGAUCCCGGGACACCUUAAUGACUUCUCUUUAGCUUAAUGCAUCUCUGUAACAAACGGCAUCACCUGCUAUUGCUGAUCUUGCACCACUUUCUGACUGCUGCAGAAGAACAAGGAAGGUACACUGUUUUACGCAAUGGGCAUCAUCAGGAACAUGAGAAGCUUCCCAUCCACAACGACCCUGAAUCCCAAGAGUCCUGUUUCUAGUCAUGGUCCUGACAGAGGAAUGGUCCAGCUGAAAGAACCUUUUAGGAUAUCCAAAGGAUUCAUGGACAGCAGGACUUCUUGAAAAAUCAUUCAUCUGCAUUGUCAUGGUACCUCCUACACUGACUUCACAUGGGUGUCCAGCUGUGAGAGGGAUGGAAGGUACAGGACUCCUGUACCUGCAGGGAUGGCUGGACCAUGGCUAUGCCACAGCUUUAUUCCAGGAGGGGACGAUUCCUGUCAAUGUAAGGACACAAAACAAAUACAAACCACUCAGUGAAGGGACUUCUGCUCUCCUUUCCAGCUGCCCUCUGUGUACAAGUCAUCUCUCUGUCCUGCAGUCUUAGAGAUCACAAGGUCUGGCUGAAGCCCUAUCAGGAUGUGAGACUAAAGCCCUGCUUUAUCUGUGCGAGAUCCUGCCCGCGGUGACUGGAUGGUUGGGGGAGAAACAGCACUAUGUUUUCUUCAGCAAAAUAAGGGGGAACAUUUGCCCUUUGAUUAUAGCUACUGGUGAAGGGUCAGCAGGAACUGCUGGUUCACCCAACCCUGCAGAGCUUUGUAAAUGCUUUUAUUGUGUUUCCUGGCCACGUUCAUUGGUGGAAGCCUGACAGGCUGGAAUGGGACCUACAGAGACAUCUCACCUCUGACAGGGCCCUGCCAGCACUGCUCCAAUCCAGCCCAUGGGCCCAAAGCCUUAUCCAUCCUCUGCCAUUUGGAGGCCAGUGGACAGGAUAUGGCCCUCAAACCCAGGCAAGCUGCCAGUGCUGUGCUCACUUGAGCAAACUUUAGGCAUUCUGACCCAGAAGAAAGGUUGGCCAAGGGACAGUCAGUCUGUAAUAGAUCACUAAGUGCCAUCUUGAAAACUACACCAUCUAAUAAACUUUUCCAGCUACAUUAGGAAGAGAGACUUCCACUUCCUUUUUCCACCUUUAUUUUUGUAUUUGUUUCGGUUCCCUUCCAGUUGAGGCAAGAAGUUUCAAGAUUUUCAAAUAUCACCAUAUGCACAUCUGCUUGCAAAGAUCUCAGUCCUCAGCUGCUUCCUGCAUGUAGAUGUUGCCAUGUUCCUUGUGAGCUGCUUCCACCUUAUGCAUGGAAAGGGUGAGCAAGGCUGUAGACUUCACAACUUUGGGAGAAUGAUCUUCAUGCAGUAGGAAAUAUGCAGGAUCAAGACUAUGAGCCUCUACCCUUUUCAGAUGAAGAUCAAACCCAGAGAUGCCACCCUGAGCCUAGAAAAUAAACUUGUACUUUGUUAUAUUGUGUAAUCAUGUACAGCUAUUUUUAAUGUAAAUAGAAAAGGUGACAUUAUUUAUUAUUUUUUAUCAGAAACAUGUGGUUUUUUCAUUAAAAGCUUCUAGACCCAGGAGCUUAACAUUAUAUGUAUUAUUAUUUAGUAAUAUUUCUGUUGCUAUGUGACAGGUAUUUACUAUAAACAGACAAAUCCUGCUUUGAACAAACAGAAAUGUUGCUCAGUAGGAAAAAAAUUGUGCAUGAUAAGAACAAGUGGCUUCCCUGCCAUGGUGUCCGACUUCUUUAAAUACUUCUUCCACAUAAAACUCACUGACAAAACUUCACAGCAUUUUCCUUUAGGUUUCAAAAGGACUCGGGGGACAAAUAGCCCUAAUUAGAAGACCAGACACUUACCAAAGUAGAGAAGUGCUGGCAGUUAGAAAGAGACAAACUGUUGGUGUUUUCAUGGAAAGUGCUCCUGGUUCAUCAUUAGGACCUGUUUGGCAAUUACCUGUUUUUACAGGGCUUUGUUUCCAAAACAACUCUACUGUAGACACCAAAACAGAGCAGGGAGUGAAAAAAGAAAGGUCAUUAUUAAAAGUUUGGAAAAAAUCCAUCCAGGGCUGCUUGAGUCUUGUGAUCCUCACCCUCUGUGGGACUGCUCACUUUGGUUAUGUCAGGAUUUGGAUACAUGAGGCUGCAGAAUAGGUUGUCUUGGUUUCACCUCAAGUGUCAAAUUUCUUAGAGAAAUUCUAAAAAAGCUUUUCUCUGUCCCCAUUAAAAGGCAUCAAAAUAUUGGUGUGAAAUUUCUUGGAGUGAUCUGGAAUCAGCAGCAUGGGGAUGCUACAGUAAUGGUGUUUUUUGUUUCUGCUGUUGUCCUUGAAGUGUUGUUUUCUCCUAUGUUUUUAUGUGCAUUCGUAAUAUAUCUCUUCUUAAUUUAAAAUUAACUCCUCAACAGGGCAAUUUCCUCACAGGCAACAUUCUAUCAAUGGUCUCUAUCAAUGGGAGCAGUAGCUCACUAGCCAAAAUGGUCAACAGCUGUGACGGGAAAAAAUUCCAAAAAUUCCAAACAUUGAAUGAAAAACCAAACACGAAAUGUCCAUGUUCUGUGUCAUUUCUGACAAACUGUUUGUUGGACUCAGUAAACCUGUCAUGAACCACCUGGCAGCUCCUGCUUAGUAAGUCAAUAAUCUCAGUAAAGCUUCUGUGAACCCAGCAAAUGACGUUGUCUGUCAUCAAUAAUGGUAGAAUUUCUCUAGAAAAUGAGCUGUCUCACAGAAAGGACCCAGACUCAAUUUCCUUUGCUAAAGGUGGCUGCUCCUUCAGCCUCUCAGUUUAGCUUCCCAUUGACCCUCUUGGCUAGUGGUAUCAGAGCCUUUGCCUGUGCUGAAUAAUGUGUAAUGCAUUGGCUGUUUCUAAAAAUAAAAAAUCUUCUGUGUGCACUG